rnacentral:rRNA from 1 species
AUUCCAGCUCCAAGAGCGUAUAUUAAAGUUGCUGCGGUUAAAAAGCUCGUAGUUGGAUUUCAGUCUAGGAAGGUUAACUCGCCGAAAGGUUGUGCGUUGAUUUUCCUCAGACUUCGUCAGAAGCUCGUGCUGCACUUAACUGUGUGGUACGAUGUUCUGACCUUUUACCUUGAGGAAAGUAGAGUGUUUCAGGCAGGCUACCCAGCUUGAAUACAUUAGCAUGGAAUAAUGAAAUGGACCUCGGUUCGAUUUCGUUGGUUCUAGAGCUGAGGUGAUGAUCAAUAGGAACAGGCGAAGGUAUUCGUACUUGAGAGUGAGGAGUGAAAUCCGAUGAUCUCUUAAAGACGAUCCGAGGCGAAAGCAUUUGUCAAGGAUGUUUUCAUCA